AACGAACGCUGGCGGCAGGCUUAACACAUGCAAGUCGAACGCAUGCCUUCGGGCAUGAGUGGCAGACGGGUGAGUAACGCGUGGGAACCUACCCCUUGGUACGGGAUAGCUCCGGGAAACUGGAGAUAAUACCGUAUGUGUCCUGAGGGACAAAGAUUCAUCGCCAAGGGAUGGGCCCGCGUCGGAUUAGCUAGUUGGUGGGGUAACGGCCUACCAAGGCGACGAUCCGUAGCUGGUCUAAGAGGAUGAUCAGCCACAUUGGGACUGAGACACGGCCCAAACUCCUACGAGAGGCAGCAGUGGGGAAUAUUGGACAAUGGGCGCAAGCCUGAUCCAGCCAUGCCGCGUGAGUGAUGAAGGCCCUAGGGUUGUAAAGCUCUUUCACCGGUGACGAUAAUGACGGUAACCGGAGAAGAAGCCCCGGCUAACUUCGUG
rnacentral:rRNA from 1 species